rnacentral:rRNA from 1 species
UUGGGAAUCUUGGACAAUGGGGGAAACCCUGAUCCAGCCAUGCCGCGUGAGUGAUGAAGGCCUUCGGGUUGUAAAACUCUUUCGACGGGGACGAUAAUGACGGUACCCGUAGAAGAAGCUCCGGCUAACUUCGUGCCAGCAGCCGCGGUAAUACGAAGGGGGCUAGCGUUGUUCGGAAUUACUGGGCGUAAAGCGCGCGCAGGCGGCUAUCCAAGUCAGUGGUGAAAGCCCGGAGCUCAACUCCGGAACUGCCAUUGAAACUGUUUGGCUUGAGGACGAGAGAGGUGAGUGGAAUUCCCAGUGUAGAGGUGAAAUUCGUGGAUAUUGGGAAGAACACCAGUGGCGAAGGCGGCUCACUGGCUCGUAUCUGACGCUCAGGCGCGAUAGCGUGGG